UACGUAGGGGGCAAGCGUUGUCCGGAAUUAUUGGGCGUAAAGCGCGUGUAGGCGGCUCGGUAAGUCUGCUGUGAAAGUCCAGGGCUCAACCCUGGAAUGCCGGUGGAUACUGUCGAGCUCGAGUCCGGAAGAGGCGAGUGGAAUUCCUGGUGUAGCGGUGAAAUGCGCAGAUAUCAGGAGGAACACCAAUGGCGAAGGCAGCUCGCUGGGACGGUAACUGACGCUGAGACGCGAAAGCGUGGGGAGCAAACAGG
rnacentral:rRNA from 1 species